UCUCAGUUCGGAUCGGAGUCUGNAACCCGACUCCGUGAAGCUGGAUUCGCUAGUAAUCGCGCAUCAGCCAUGGCGCGGUGAAUACGUUCCCGGGCCUUGUACACACCGCCCGUCAAGCCAUGGAAGCCGGGGGGUGCCUGAAGUGUGCAGCCGCAAGGAGCGCCCUAAGGUAAAACCAGUGACUGGGGCUAAGUCGUAACAAGGUACC
rnacentral:rRNA from 1 species